rnacentral:miRNA from 1 species
CUGUGUCCUGCCAGUGGUUUUACCCUAUGGUAGGUUACGUCAUGCUGUUCUACCACAGGGUAGAACCACGGACAGGAU